UCGAGUGUUAAAACUCCCAAACCAUUGUGAACGUUACCUUUUGUUGCUUCGGCGGGUUCGCCCCGGGCGCCUUCGAGUGCCCCGGAGUCAGGCGCCCGCCGGGGGACUAUAACUCCUGUUUUAUCAAGUGGAAUCUCUGAGUUCAGUUUUAAAAUAAAUCA
rnacentral:misc_RNA from 1 species